GACGAACGCUGGCGGCGUGCUUAACACAUGCAAGUCGAACGGAAAGGCCCUGCUUUUGUGGGGUGCUCGAGUGGCGAACGGGUGAGUAACACGUGAGUAACCUGCCCUUGACUUUGGGAUAACUUCAGGAAACUGGGGCUAAUACCGGAUAGGAGCUCCUGCUGCAUGGUGGGGGUUGGAAAGUUUCGGCGGUUGGGGAUGGACUCGGGGCUUAUCAGCUUGUUGGUGGGGUAGUGGCUUACCAAGGCUUUGACGGGUAGCCGGCCUGAGAGGGUGACCGGCGACCAUGGGACUGAGAUACGGCCCAGACUGCUACGGGAGACAGCAGUGGGGAAUAUUGCACAAUGGGCGGAAGCCUGAUGUAGCAACGCCGGGUGCGGGAUGACGGCCUUCGGGUUGUAAACCGCAUUCACCUGUGACGAAGUGUGAGUGACGGUAAUAGGUGAAGAAGCACCGGCUAACUACGUG
rnacentral:rRNA from 1 species